GUUCAGAGCUCUGCCUCCAGCACACACACCUGUUAGGAGUAUGGCCUGACUGCUCCCAGGAGGCGUAUGUUCCAGAAAAGCAGAUUUGAUCUCUCUGAAGAAGGAGCAGGAGGAGGAGGAAAAAAAAGAGAAGUAAGAAAAACAGGGUGUCAAAUGACUACCCAGCGAUCCUUCAUAGGCGAUCCCAUCGGCUAUUUACCCAGUCCCAUGUUGCUGGACGUUUAGGAUGUUUUCAUGUGUCACACAGUCGUGAAGACUGCUGUAGGAAAAAUUCUUGUGCUUAUAACAUUAUCUAAGUCUCUUCUUGACUUCAGAGAAGCCCCAGGAGCAACGUUGGGGGGCAAAAGGCACACGUGUUUUUGAGGCUCUUAAGAUUGACAUUCAUCAGUUGCCAAGUUGCUGUCUAGAAGGAUUAUUCCCAUGGAGACUCCUCCUGGCAAUGCCAAUGAAAACGCUUCCUCACAAUUGGUACUUGCAUUGUUCCCGGAGCUGCCGCCCACGCCCCGGGCCUCCUGAACCAGGUUGCUGAGUGUCGGGGGAUCCGGCCUUACCUCUGAGUGAGUGAGUGCCGUGGGGACAGCUCGCUUCACCUCCCUGAACCUCGAUUUCCCUCCUCUGUGAAGCGGGGAUCAUUGCAGCCCUCAGCCCAUAGGGCAGUUCAAGCAGACGAGCAAGUGAAUACCCACCAUAGACGUAAGUCUUCAAUAAAUGGUCGUUAUUUAUCUUUCUCGGUUUGGGGUUUGUGCAUAAGAUGCGAAGGACAGCC
rnacentral:lncRNA from 1 species